rnacentral:lncRNA from 1 species
GCUAAUCUUGCUGGGGUCGGGGUGGGCUUAUGUAGGGAAUGGGUCCCCCCCUUAACACCAGCACCUUGCUUCGAAUCUCUGUGGACACAAGAUAAUGUUGCUACUAUCUUUCUCACACCUCUAAGAACAGCCCCUACCUCUGGCCUACUUUAUACCGACUUUAUUCUAAAGAAAACUCAGGAAGGUCCCGUGGUGAAGGAAAGGCCGGAUUGUGGGUUCUCUAAUUUUACUUCCCAGUUUUUCCACUACUUCUUGAUAAAGAGGCAGUUUAGGUUCUUGGAUUUGCAAAUCCAGUUUGGAGGCCGGUCUCCUUCCGUGAUCUACCUUCUGCCUGGGAAAUCUACGUUCAACCUCACCAAAGUGCACUCCGCAAAGGCAGCUCUCGAGCAGCCCCAAAUAAUUUCUGCGCCAAGAAAGUGGAUUCCCCAUCCCAAGGCCGGUAGUGGUCCUGCCUCUCCCCAAGGAGGGCUAACUGUGUGGUGCCUCGGGCAGGUGGACCGAAAGCGACAUCGAGCGGGUUUGGGGAGCCACGAGCAACAACUACCUUUCGCGCAGGCCAGCCUGCCUGCUGGUUUCGAUCCAAUCACCCUUGGCCUAUAUGUCGAAUCUCACGAGCGGCGACCAGAUUUGCCAUCAGUACCCGUUUUCACUAACAAAGAAAUUGGAAGAGGAAUUUCACCUUGAUGCCAUAAAUCAACAGCAUUCAGCGUUUGUCUUGCGGAAGCCCUUAUAGAGGCAGCACACUCCCCAAACUGCAAGAGUGGCAUCACCAAACUUUUUCCCUAGGAACUUUACUCAGUAUCUCAGCAUCAAGCCACCAAGCUUUGAACUGUGUCUGGGAGCAUCUGUGCUUUAUCUUGAUUUGUUUUGUGCAUCCGUUAGCAAGAUGUGUCCUAAGGUAAUUGCUUUUCCCUUUACACCAGUUCAGCUUACAACAUGUUUCAUGGGAAUGCUCUGCUGUCAGAAGUGGGAGGAAACCUGUAUUUAUAUACAUCUUGUAGUUAUCAUAGUACUCUAUUUAAUCCUCAUCACAACCCUACAAAGUAGGUAUUAUUAUCAUCACUCUCAUUUUUUUGGUAAAUAAAUUAUACUUUAAUUUUAAAAAUAACA